rnacentral:misc_RNA from 1 species
AACGCACAUUGCGCCCUUUGGUAUUCCUUAGGGCAUGCCUGUUCGAGCGUCAUUUUCACCUUCAGGCACGGCUUGGUGUUGGGCGUUUGUCCCUCGCGGACUCGCCUCGAAACUAUUGGCAGCCACUCCAGCGGCUUUGAGCGCAGCAGAAUUGCGUCUCUUGCGGCGAGGGGGGCAUCCAUAAGCAUACUUUUUAUUUUGACCUCGGAUCAGGUAGGGAUACCCGCUGAACUUAA